UCUGGGGAUAAUGUAUCUGAGCUUUCCGACCGUGGUAAUGUAUUUUGAACUUUGCAUUAGACUAUAGGGCUUUUCACACUUGCUAGUUUCAACCCACUGCCAGAGACUAUAGGGUUGAGAAUUUUCAACCCAGAGCAAAACGUUCUCCUCGGGUUGAAAACGCACAGCAGCAAAACACACGUUGAUGGGCAAAGGUCCCUGGGAUGAAAAUAUAUAGUAUGAAACGAUCGUCCGACCACGGGAUGAAUUUCACCUCGUAGAUUGUACAGCAAUACAAAUGUGAAUGCACACAUGCAGGGGCUGAACUCGGGGGAGUCAUCCCAGGGCCGCCUCAAUUUGACCCGGGGUUGGAUACUGUAGUGUGAACAUAGAAAACAAAUGAAUAGAUUGUUGAAGAAAAAAAACUAACAGUGAAUUUGCCAUCAUUUAAAUAAUACAUUAUUUGUGAUGUGUGUUUUUGAGAAUGUAGAAUAUGACUCUGUUUACUAACUGCUUGUAAUUUAUGUAUUUGUUUUCUGAGGAUGAGUGUCUCAACAUGUAGGGGAGACCGGGGUCAAUUGUAACACCUCAAAUUUCUCCAGUCUGAAACAAGCUAGCGUGAUGAAACUCACUCAAUACUGGCUCUGUUGGAUUCCUGCCUGCCUCUGGAAAAGAUACUACCAGUGAUUAAAGCGUAAGAUUUUAUCUACAUAAAACGAUUUUUGAGAUGCAUCGUGGUGUUGGCAACUCCGAGGCCGCAGAGUUUGUUUUUACCUGCCGAGGCUUCCUGGCUUUCAAGUUUAAAUGGAAAACGAUGAUGAUCUGGGUUCAUUCACCUUGCUGUUCCUGCAUCUCGUUGACGGUGUCUGUUGCCAUGAUGAGGAGUAAUGUAAUGUCUUGUUGAUUUUAAACAAUAUUUGUAUAUUUCCUGUUGACGUUGGUUUAUAUUCUAGUAAACACAACAUAAUUGCCACAGCAGUAUUUGUGUAAUUGUAAUAACACGCUAUUGUUGCUAACGUUUGUAAAUGUUACAUUUACAGUAAGCCUAAUUUGUUUCCGUGUAUGUUUCUAUCAAUUGAUUCAAUAAAUGUGUGUUUUUUUCUUUUA